AAAAUCAUACAUACAAAGGUAGAAGCAGAUUUUGCAAUUAAGUUUCUUACUCUUAAAAAAGGAAAUAAAAGUAUUUCCUUUUCUUUUCCUUCCUUUGUAAGAGUAAGAAACUUAAUUGUGAAAUCUGCUGCUACCUUUGUAUGUAUGAUUUU